CAAUAAUUUGUCCUGGUAUUCGCAAAUAUGUUGAGACGUUUCUAUUUCAAUAUUUUGGAAACAUAUAAUUAUUUUGUGAUUAGUCUUUUGAUAAACAGAUUAAGUAAUGGUGCAUAUGAGUGUGACGUAGAUUAUCAGCAGGUUGGCGAAACAUGUAUUAAGUGCCCGCCAGGGAGUUUUGGACAGAAUUGCUCGCAAAAGUGUAAAUAUCCAACAUAUGGUUUAUUGUGUGGUGGGACUUGUGACUGUUUACCUGAAGAAUGUAAUAGCAAAUCUGGAUGUAUUAAAUAAUCACAUGGAUGUUCUGUAGGAGUUCUUGAGGAUAUUAAUCAAAGAUGUUGCUCUUAUCAUCGGAAAGUAAAUAAGUGGUGAAAAACUUGUCCUAAUGGUUAUUUUCAGUCAAACUGUACUCCAUGUCCCUAUCCAUAUUAUGGACAUUUAUGUGCUGCAACAUGCAAUUGUUCGCAAUCUUAUUGCAAUCACGUGACUGGAUGUCAUUUUAUUACAGUUUCUGUCUCUCAACACCACCAAACAACGCUAAGGAAAACCAUUGAAGAUUCUAACUUCACAAUUUCUCAUCUACCAAUUGCAAAUAUAGACCAUUCAAAGAGAUUUGUCAUCAUUUCAGUCGGGACAGUAGUGAUAUGUAUGGUCAUCUUAUGUAUUGUCUAUGAGAUGCGAGUAUAUCGAAAAUAUUUGCAUAGAAAUGACAUGUCAAAUGAAGAGCAAACCGUUGAAGGCGUUUAUGCGGAUCUUAUUGAAGUUAAUGUUGAAGAUAAUAUAUAGUGGAGAAAAUUGAGA